CGUGCACCAAUACCAUUAGAGCUUCUUCGCCUACCUAUUGACUUCUUCAGAGUCAGCCGAAACUGUAGAGUUGCGCUUGACUCUCUGAACGUGCGUUAUCUUUUGCCAGCACGCCCAAGACAUUGACGAAUGGCGGAACAUCACCAUUCCGAGAAGCCACAGCCACGACAUGCAGAAGAUGGGAUCAAAGGCCGCCACGAACUAUCUGAUAACCAACCUCGAGCCCGAGACUCGAUACCAGGCGAUCGCUGUCGCCACCAACGAAAUGGGCACAAGCGGUCUCACCUUCGACUUCAUGACGGCAUUCGCCCUCCCUAAACAGCCGUUGAGUACCAAAGCCAGCGAGGAAGUUGAAACUCAUCUACAAGCUAAUGACCCUGAUGCCUUACAAGAACAGAUCAAGGAUAGCGGCAACGGAAACUCUGGCACCCGGGCCACGCUCUUCAGUGCGCACAUGGUCGGGUGCGUCACGGUGGCCCUGCUUUCGAUUUUUUUCUGCUGAACACGUCGAUCGCCAUGAGCCGGAUAGUUUUCUUUUGCCGCCCGUGGACUACGUCUGACACAGAGAACGCCGCCGACCAACGAACUUUCUUCUUGACGCGGCGAAGCACUGCAUUCGCCGUCUUAUUUUGUUCGUCUCCUUUGCGAUGAACAAUGUCCAUCAUCGAUGGUUAUGAUAAUUAUAAUAAUUAUUAUGUUCAUUUCACUUUCCCCGUCUCACCCUCUCAAAGGUCCGCGCGUAAGUUGGGAGCGCUUCCUCUGUUGUUCGCGGUGCUUUUUUUUAUUUUUUUCGUGCGAGAGUUCGUACGCUUCACUCGCCUUUUCACGUGAUCCGCCUGGUGUACACUACGCAGUGCAUGAUACGAGAAAACUCAAGCGAAAAAAAAAAAUCGCGCUAAUGACGGGUGUUCGCGUUUUCUCCAAUCGUCCCGUGUUGUGUCCUCUGAGCAGCACACGUGAAAAGCCAUUAUGCUGCAGCUCUCUCACAAAGACCCUCGGUUUACGCUUCACGUCUCACUCGUGUUUCGAGCAGCUAUAAGCACCCUCCCCACCAAAAGUCCUAACGAACUUGUUAACAACCUUCACUCUAUGACGCUUCAUAGGAUAUACUAUACACUCGGAACUCUCAUUUCUAAGAUUUCCCUCUUAGCAGUCUUUUCUCCAAGGAGUGUAGGUGUGUAGUGGCGAAAGCAUCUGAGAAGUCGAGGUGCGGUACGACUCACAAAUUCGCGGGAGCGUUAGCGUGGCUAUUCAUGCUCGAAGUCUUUUUUUUUCUCUCCCACUUUUCGCAUAGUGAUGUAACGAAGGCUCCGCUCUAAGCGCAGCCACGUCAAGGCUUCAUUUCUUAUUUUUCACCUGCAGCGCUUGUUUCAUGUACUGCCAUCCAAUGCAUAGAAAUCUUUUUAAGACUUCUAGCUAUUCACGCUCUUGCUGGCCUUGAGCGAACCGUUACCACUUAUAUGACAAUGAAAGGUCCUGUCCUGCGUUCCUACACGUCAUCCUCAGUUCUUCUGAUGAAGUUACAAAACUGUCCCUGUAACCAAUGGCUCAAGCUUUAAUAAGAGUAGCGGAUUUGCCAUCUUAAGUCAAUUGGUACUAAGUAUUUUAUGUGUUAACACCUAAAUUAUUCUGCAGUAAAGCGGCUCUUGCGCUUAAAUAUGGCACAUAAAAGAUCGUUAUCACUCUAGCCAGUACUCGUCGCCGCCUUUCAUGAUAACUAUCUUUUCUGGCGGCAACUUAGGAACUAUCACAGUUAUCGCCUUACUGUACAUACUACGCUAUCAAGCAUCACUGGCAUAAUUCGUUUGUGUGCCCUCGCGUAACGUGUCGUGUUCUGUCAAACUGAUGGCCACAAAAUGGGCCAUGUUUUUUUUUUCUGUCAACCUGUUAAGUUUUCCUCCGUCUCAUUUUUUUUUCAACUCGUGUGAAAUGCAAUGUCUUGUCAUGCUCGUUUUGUAUAGCUUGUUCUAUGGAGGCUGUAAAAAAAAGAAAGCAUAUAUGUAGCGCAACUUUAUUGAUUAAUUUUUUUCUUUUGUAUCCAUUAACUUCAUCGUCAAAAGUGUCAGCUUCUGUGUUCCUCGACUGAAAAAAAAAGAUAUACAUAUAAAUAUAGUGUGUUUGCUUUCUUUUUUUUUUCUUUCAUGUGACUGGAAAGUAUUGCGUUGGAUAGGAGAACGAAUGGAAAAGAAAAAUAAAAGCGUACGGACGUGGCUUUGUUGCAGCUAAUUACUCAGCAGUGGUGUUUUGCACGUUGUCUUUCUCGUUACGUACACGCUAGCUUUCUCUUUUUGGACAGGCGUGCACCUCACAGCUUUCUACUGCUCAAAAUAUUACAAGUCGCUGAAUAAGGAAAUUAGGCUGGAACCAUUUAUACUACAGCGACAGUUACUGCUUCAAACGAGAUGGAGCAGUGGUUGAAAGAAGCUUGUUUGAUGCGUGAACUUAGGAGAAACAAAAGUAAAUGUGCGAGUUUCGUUGCUGACCGCACGCUCCUCAGAUGAAAACGUGCUCACAAAAGAGUAAUUUACGCUUUCCCGACGCUCUUUCUUUUUUUUUUCUGUUAGCGUAAGGACGUCCGAGAAUAUUGGGCCUACUAUCUUUCAAGAGUCCUUCGCGUAAAUUCGCAUCUUUUCGCUGACAUCAUAGGCACGUUUUCUGCAAUUAAUUUAACACCUGUGCCGUGCGGUGCACAUUUAAAUGGAACGUGCGAGUAUGUGAGGGACACUUUGUGGUUUUGUGCGAGCGUCAUGGCGCCUGCCACCGCCCUGUUUCACAGUGAUACAUCCAUCUACUGGUGGAAGCAGCCUAGAGGCAUGUUGCAGGCUCGAAUAUGAACACCCACUUUGAAUUCACCUACUGAAAAGCCGAGUGCUUCCAUGCCUGCCACAAUGUGGAAUCUCCCGCUCUGUACUUUCUUGUAAUGUUAAUUUUAAGGAAGGAGCACAACGUAUUUUUAAGCAAGGUACAUAUUGUGAGUCUUCAUAUAGCGGCGUUGAGAUUCUUGUAGCGAAAGUCUUCGGUGAGACACGUGUGAAAAUACUGGCGCCUGUCCAAAGAACAGUGAUGGUGGGUAAUCGUGCAAGAAGCGACGUUCCUGUAGUACGGAGACAGUUGGCGUACCAGAACUCCACUGCUACACUCUGCUGAAAUUAGGCAGAAAAUAGAACAAUAAAAGGAAGUGGUGUGUAUUAGUGUUUUGACAGACGCUGUCUCUGCUCGAGUAUUUAUUGCACCGAAGAGUAGGAGCCAGCCCGUGAUUCACUUAAAUCCCGGUCACCUUCACUUGCGUGUCGCAAAGUUGUUGUAGCCUUCUAGCACCUGUUUAGCGUGUCGCGCCCGAAAAUGGUGAGAGAAUGUUUAUGGUACAGUGAAGUUCAAUACUCGGAAUUCUAAAGUGCUAGAGUGUCAAGUAUUCUUGUUGACUGUACUUUGCAAGGUUACGAAUGGGUUCUGAAAGGUUUCUUUCUUUUUUUUUUUUCCUGGGCGUUCGAACAUUUUAUCAAGCUCCUAUAACCGAUACUGCCAUCUAUUUAACUCUCGUUACUGAUUACGAAGGCUAGAAAGCCUAGAUUUGCCCUCUUGUCAAGAGACGCUUCUAGCUGAUGCUAUUUGCAGUCCGAGUGGCGAGUGUAUGUACAUUAACUAUGUGAGAGACCAUCUUCUAAUACAACACAAUGGUUGGGAAAAAAUGUCUUUAAAGCAUGACCAAAGUCAAAUUUUAGGCGUUAUCAACACAAGCAGAUCAUUUUCAAAGUAUUGAACGUAAAAGAGACUCUUUGGUAACGUGCUCUUUUUCUUUUGUUUUACUUUGAGCAUAGGUGACAUGUCUGGUUGUACAUUCCAAGCUACUGUGACAAAUUAUUUGCAGUUGUGGCCUUUAUGUUUCAACUCAACAUGGCUUCGCCUGCAGCAGCCGUCACACCAAAGUGCCUCUGAGUUUGUAAGCGUUAUAAAAAAAAGAAAGCUAUGAAAGCUGCAAUGAUUAGCUUGGCAUAACUUCCGUCUCAAGUAUUGUAACAAUCCUGCACCGAACUGCUUUUUCAAAACGAAAAAAAAAAGCUUAUUGCAAUUGGCUAAUAGAUUCAUCCACACAUUGUCCACAGAAGAGCACUUCCCCAGUGAAUAACAGAACUCGCAUUAUGUCGAACCUUUCGUUUCAACCUGCCAAGAGCGCCUUCUUUUCGCGUACUGAUUACUUCUCUCAGUUGCUCCUAGCGAUGAGGUAGAGCAGAUGACACGAGGGACUCUUUUCCAAGCACCGAAUGUGACGUGGUCUCGCAAUACAGACACAGCCGGUGAGCAGUUGUCACUGCUGCAAAUAAUUUCUCUUGGCAUUUGGAAUAUACAAGGAAAGCAAUUCAGUCUUGUGGAUUUUGUGAAUGUUCUGUCAAUAAAGUCAAAUACAACCAA